AGAAAUGAAGUCUCCGUUAACAAAGGAGGAAGGAGCUACAAGGAAUUGAAAAGUGAAAAAGAAGAGAGCUGAUUAAGUGCUAGAGAUGUGGACGCGCAGUCCACGUAGGACGGUGGUGGUGGCCGGUAGUCACCAAUCAAGCGGCGGAACGCAUCAUUGAACUCAUUAAUUAGACAGCCCCAUCCAUGGUCCCACCACCAUUGAACAUCUUCACUCUAAAAGCUGGGGCGGCCACCCUAAUCAUCAAAUACAAAACCAAAUAAAAAAAUAAC
rnacentral:lncRNA from 1 species